CAACCCUCAAGCCUGGCUUGGUGUUGGAGCACUACCCGUUACACGGUAGGCUCUGAAAUUCAGUGGCGGGCUCGCUAAGACUCUGAGCGUAGUAGUUUUACCACCUCGCUUUGGAAGGAUUAGUGGUGCUCUAGCCGUAAAACCCCCCCAAAUCUUCUGAA
rnacentral:misc_RNA from 1 species